GCAGGCGGAGCAGCAUGUUCCUGUCUCUUUAACCCUGCCCUCCUGGACAUUUAUUCUCAACCAUCUCCAGAGGGCAGGCAGAGAUUCCAAGGAAGAGGAUCCCUGGAUGUGGCCCAUUCCAGCAAGAGAGCUAUUUGGAGAGCCCCAUUCUCAUGGCCUAGCUUCUGGGGCCACUGGCUUUUGGCUGGAAUCCUGUUGACCUAAAACAAAUAGACUGUCAGUUAUUUACCCAGCAAAGAUCAGUUUAUUCAGGAUCAGCAGAGAAUUGAAAUUCAGCGUCUGCAACCAUGGUUUUCCAGGCUUCCAGAUGGCAUCUAUCCGUCGAGAAUUUACACCUGUCUGAGGUCCCAGCUGCAGUUUCUAUUCCCGCCAUGUGAGUGCAGAGGCUUGUCUGAUCAGAAAGACAACCUCACUAAAGAGCCCAAGAAGCAACAGGCCCCUACUGACCAGAUGGCGAAGCUGAAAAAUCCUGAAGAGGGAAGUAAAUGCCUGGGACCCCAUGGUCGCACAGAUGGGACAGGUCUCUUGGCCGUCAAUCCUUCCUCUGAACAAACAAAAGGAAGAUAUGAUGGCAUGGGGGGUGCCCAAAUAUGAGCUCCCCUCCUUAAAAUACCAUCUAAAAUCCCCAAACCAAAUUUGGCUCCAAGAGUAUAUCCCACAAUGAUACAGCAAUGGCCCUUGUAAAUGCCAAAGCCACAACAUUCAUCUGGGGCAUAAGAGACUCCAGACAGAGGCUGCUGGAUCAGAGCACACUCACAGAAGCCUCAGGAGGGAAGCCUGUUCUGUCACCCAGGGAGGCACUGAUGUGUGCCAGAUAUCGCCUUGUGCUGGUCAUAAAGUUGGCUCAGAAGGGCUCUUGAUGGAGGUUUCUUUAAAUGGUGACAUCAUCAAAAGAUGCCAGAAUGGGUGAUGGGACCUGCAGCUUCUCACCUGUGAAAGGCAGGAUAAUAACACAUGCCUCAGUCCAGGUACAUGGUGAGUGAUGAGGAAGAGCUGGCUCUAGGACUUCAUGCCAGAGAAUGUUUUGCCUAUGUUUGCAUCUAAGAGUUUUAUGGUGUCGUGUCUUAAGUUUAAGUCUUUAAACCAUUUUGAAUUUAUUUUGUGUAUGGUGUGAAAGUGUGUUCUAACUUCAUUGGUUUACAUGAGGCUGUCCAACUUUCCCAACAUCCCUUGCUGAAGCAACUAUCUUUUUCCCAUUGUAUAUUCUUGCCUCCUAUGUCAAAGAUUAAUUGACUGUAUGUGUGCUGGUUUUUUUCUGGGCUCUCUAUUCUGUCCCAUCCAUCCAUAUGUCUAUUUUUGUGCUAAUACUAUGCUGUUUUUUUUUCUUUUUUAGGGCUGCACUUGCAGCAUAUGGAGGUUCCCAGGCUAGGG
rnacentral:lncRNA from 1 species